UGCUUCACACCAUAGCAGCUUGAUACAUUACAUUAUAAAGCUCAAAAACAGGAAUUGAAUGGUUAAUUACAAAAAACAUAAAUUUUUCAGUUAAUAUAUUUAAAUAUGAACCCUCGGAAAUAAUUUAAAUAUAGUCAAAUGUAUAGAGAACAGUAAACCAAAAUUAUACUAUUUAUCAACAGAGGGCGCUAAAAUAAUUCAUAGGUUCCAUAAUCUUCGAUUAUAUGAGAGUACAAUAAUAUGCAGUUCUAUUCUAAUGUUCUAUGUACGUUCACAAAUUUAAUUGACCAUGACCCCCUAAAAUCCCCCACAAUUUUUUUUACCCCCAAAAAA
rnacentral:lncRNA from 1 species